AGUGAACGCUGGCGGUAUGCCUAACACAUGCAAGUCGAACGGCAGCACAGUAAGAGCUUGCUCUUACGGGUGGCGAGUGGCGGACGGGUGAGGAAUACAUCGGAAUCUACUUUUUCGUGGGGGAUAACGUAGGGAAACUUACGCUAAUACCGCAUACGACCUACGGGUGAAAGCAGUGGAUCUUCGGACCUUGCGCGAUUGAAUGAGCCGAUGUCGGAUUAGCUAGUUGGGCGGGUAAAGGCCCACCAAGGCGACGAUCCGUAGCUGGUCUGAGAGGAUGAUAAGCCACCCUGGAACUGAGACACGGUCCAGACUCCUACGGGAGGCAGCAGUGGGGAAUAUUGGACAAUGGGCGCAAGCCUGAUCCAGCCAUACCGCGUGGGUGAAGAAGGCCUUCGGGUUGUAAAGCCCUUUUGUUGGGAAAGAAAAACAGCAGGUUAAUACCCAGCUGUUCUGACGGUACCCAAAGAAUAAGCACCGGCUAACUUCGUG
rnacentral:rRNA from 1 species